rnacentral:rRNA from 1 species
UACGUAGGGUGCAAGCGUUAAUCGGAAUUACUGGGCGCAAAGCGUGCGCAGGCGGCUUUGCAAGACAGAUGUGAAAUCCCCGGGCUUAACCUGGGAACUGCAUUUGUGACUGCAUGGCUGGAGUGCGGCAGAGGGGGAUGGAAUUCCGCGUGUAGCAGUGAAAUGCGUAGAUAUCGUCAGGAACGCCGAUGGUGAAGACAGGUGACUGGGCUAGUUCUGACACUGAGGCACGAAAGCGUGGGGAGCGAACGGG